GCGCCAAAAUGGGAGCGUGGACCAAGAAGUCAAGUGUGUUCGUAUUUGGAGAGGGUAAUUGUUUAUUGGACAUUUCUUGAAAAAUGUCAUCAAAAUCUAUGUGAAACUAUUUAAGUUAUGUCGCUAACAAACAGACAAACACAACCUUGUGAAAACGUAACUUCUGUGGCGGAGCCGAGGUCAGAACGUCUUUGUUUCCUUAAAGCCGACACAGAACAAGCAAGUCACGGCGCAGCGAACGGAGCAGCUGGAGAAUGGCCGCCGGAAGGCAGCUGGCACGCUGGACAAGUCACCCUCCCAGAAAAUAUAUUUGAAGCCAGCGAAACCAAACAUCAGUUUAUGAGGUGGCGACUUGUCCAGGAUGUACCCUGCCUACCACCCGAAGGCAGCUGAGAUAGCCUCCAGCAGCCCUGGUAGUAAAAAUGGAUGGAUGAAUGGCGUUGACCGGUCCGCCCUUCGCCACCACCAGGGGGUGCAAAAUACAGCAGCCCACCUGUUGACAAGAACUAAAUAACCCCAGCUCUCUACUCUCCAUUGCCUCCCAGUACAUCCAAGGACUGCUCCCGUCUGUCCCACGCUCCAGACUCAGCAUUCAAAGGCACAUAGCUUUUUCUGUGGCUGACCCCAAAUUAUGGAACAAUUUGCUUCUGCACCUUAAGGCUGUAAAACGAGAACAUUUUAAAUCCUUGCUAAAAAUGCAACUAUUUUCCAAACAAUCUGCGACUUCCCCCUCUCUUUUUAUCUUGUUUUACCUUAACAUUUUUACCUAUAUUGUCUAAUGUGCCUGUGCAGCACCUUAUUCAACAUAGUUAAUUUGAAUGUGCUAUAUAAUAAAGUUGGACUU